AUGACUGCUUGGAAGCUCCACGUCUUCCAAAGACGUGCAGAGCUGAGCCCAUCUGCUUCGUCCCGAGGGGAUGAGAAGAGCCGGGGCUGCAUCAGCAACUCCCAGAGCCACAUCCUGCAGCCUCUUUCCGGGCGUUUCCCUGCAGGGGGACCCUCCGAUGUUUUCCUGCCGCCAUGGAGCACAGUGCGGCGAGCACGGGCCACCCUAGACCCCGGGACGCGCAGGGGCGCGCUAACUUGGCACCGGACCCCCAACACGGAGCCCGGGCGCGCGUUCCAGCUCUGCCCCCGCCCGGGGGAGGCGGCUCCGGGUGGGCUCAGGAGGCGCGGGCGCGGACUUGACAGCCCCCCACUCCAGCGUGCAGGGCUGCGGCCCAGGGGCGCGGAUCCCGAGAGCUCCAGCCGCCUGUGCGCUUCCCAGCGGAGCAGCCCAGAUGCCAGGGCUCCUGCGGCCCAGAAGACGGAGUCAGCCCCGCGGCGGCGGAGCUCCUCGCCCGCCUCCCUACACGGAGCCCUUAUUCCCAGCAGCCGGCGCUGGUUUUGCGCGGAGUCGCGCUCGGCCGGGAGGGAAAGCUCUGGACCGGAGACUCUGCCGUCGGCGCGCGCCACCAGCCCUCGAGGCGUCCUGCGAGCGCGGUGGCCGUCGCCCCCUUACCUCCUGGGCGGGCGGCUCCUCGGAGGGCUGCGGGUGCAAGCGGCGCACGCCCGCGGCUCGGCCAGCCCCAGGCAUCUCGGCGACGGCGCGGCGGGCCGGGAUGCGGGAGCGUCGGGGCCGCCGCGGCGGACUCUGUCCUCGGGCCCCGGGAGGCCCGGGCUGGGCGCGCUCCGCUCGGCCCUUCACGUGACCACGGCGGGGACGGCCCACGGCGGGGACGGCCCGCGGCCGCCCCGAGGGCGGAGGACCAGCGGCGGGCGCGGCGGUCUUCCAGGCUCUGGCCCCUUCCCCGCCCGGCCUCCCGGCCGCGCUCCGGAGGCAGGGGCGGGUACGCGGAGCGGGCGGGAGCGGGCAGCCGAGGGGCCGCGGGGGACGAGCUCUGGCUGGUGGAGGCGUGGGUUAGAGGCCCCCCUGGCAUAA
rnacentral:lncRNA from 1 species